AGGACGAACGCUGGCGGUGUGCUUAACACAUGCAAGUGGAGCGACGAACCAGGGCUUGCCCUGGGGCAGAGCCGCGAACGGGUGAGUAACACGUGGGUAACCUACCCCGAUGACCGGGACAACCCGAGGAAACUCGGGCUAAUACCGGAUGUGUCCCAUCUUCACGAGAGGAUGGAGCAAAGGAAGCUUCGGCCUCCGCAUUGGGAGGGGCCCGCGGCCCAUUAGCUAGUUGGUGGGGUAAUGGCCUACCAAGGCAGCGAUGGGUAGCUGGUCUGAGAGGACGAUCAGCCACACUGGGACUGAGACACGGCCCAGACUCCUACGGGAGGCAGCAGUGGGGAAUCUUGCGCAAUGCGCGAAAAGCGUGACGCAGCAACACCGCGUGAGGGAAGACGGCCUGGUGUAACCGUACUUCUAGGAGGA
rnacentral:rRNA from 1 species